UACAGAGGGGGCAAGCGUUAUUCGGAAUUAUUGGGCGUAAAGGGCGCGUAGGCGGCUUUGCAAGUGACGGGUGAAAUCCCUCGGCUUAACCGAGGAACUGCCUGUCAAACUGCAUGGCUUGAGACCGGGAGAGGUGAGUGGAAUUCCCAGUGUAGCGGUGAAAUGCGUAGAUAUCAGGAGGAACACUGGUGGUGUAGACGGCUUUCUGGACCGUAACUGACGCUGAGACACGAAAGCGUGGGUAGCAAACAGG
rnacentral:rRNA from 1 species